rnacentral:rRNA from 1 species
AGAGUUGAUCAUGGCUCAGGACGAACGCUGGCGGCGUGCUUAACACAUGCAAGUCGAACGGGAGUAUUGAAGAAGCUUGCUUAGAGAUACUUUAGUGGCGGACGGGUGAGUAACGCGUGAGGAGCUGUCCUAUGCAGGGGGACAACAGCUGGAAACGGCUGCUAAUACCCCAUAAGCCGAGAGGUAAAAGGAUCAAUCCGGCAGAGGAGGUACUCGCGUCCUAUCAGCUAGUAGGUGAGGUAACGGCUCACCUAGGCGAAGACGGGUAGCCGGCCUGAGAGGGCGAACGGCCACACUGGAACUGAGAUACGGUCCAGACUCCUACGGGAGGCAGCAGUGGGGAAUAUUGGGCAAUGGGGGGAAACCCUGACCCAGCGACGCCGCGUGGGUGAAGAAAUCCUUCGGGAUGUAAAGCCCUGUUGUAUGGGAAGAGCGGAAGACGGUACCAUACGAGGAAGCCCCGGCAAACUACGUGCCAGCCGCUGC